AGAGUUUGAUCCUGGCUCAGGAUGAACGCUAGCGGCAGGCUUAAUACAUGCAAGUCGAACGGUAAGUUGAGUAGCAAUACUUGACCUAGAGUGACGUACGGGUGCGUAACACGUAUGCAACCUACCCAUAACAGGAGGAUAGCUCCCCGAAAGGGGAAUUAACCCUCCAUAGUAUAAUUGAAUGGCAUCAUUUGAUUAUUAAAACUGCGGUGGUUAUGGAUGGGCAUGCGUCUGAUUAGUUAGUUGGCGGUGUAACGGACCACCAAGACGAUGAUCAGUAGGGGAACUGAGAGGUUGAUCCCCCACACUGGCACUGAGAUACGGGCCAGACUCCUACGGGAGGCAGCAGUAGGGAAUAUUGGUCAAUGGGUGAGAGCCUGAACCAGCCAUGCCGCGUGCAGGAAGACGGCCCUAUGGGUUGUAAACUGCUUUUACCAGGGGAUAAAACGGUCUUGCGAGACUAAUUGAAGGUACCUGGUGAAUAAGCCACGGCUAACUACGUGCCAGCAGCCGCGGUAAUAC
rnacentral:rRNA from 1 species